rnacentral:lncRNA from 10 species
GUCAGAUUAACAUCUAAAGGACUGAGCCCUGAACAAAGAGUCAGGUUACCUUUUAAGCAUUUUGUGUCGGUCAUUAUGCCGACAAGGUGUCCGCACUAAGUUCAGUAUCAGUAUGGUGACCUCCUGGGAACAGGGGGCCAUCGGGUUGCCUAAGGAUGGGAGAACUGGCUCAGGUCAGAAGGGGAGCAGGUCAGAAUUCCUGCGCCAAUCGGUAGUGGGACUGUGCCUGGGCAAUAUAGCAAGAUCUUGGUUCUUAAAAUUCAAAAUAAAGAACAGCUCAUUC